CAUGUCCACAAUCUUAGAAACCAGACACUGAAAGCUUGAUAAGAUUGUUCCCAAGGAUACCAUUUUCACUCCACAAGGAACUCAAAGAAGCUACAAUUUUGGCUCUGUUUUCUUAAGAGAUUAGAAACAUAAGCAUUAAGCAAACAGUUUUGGCUCCUUGAUGUUCUCAGCAAUUCUUCAGUACUCAUCUCCACUUUCUUUUUGCUCAAAAAUAUCAAAAAUCUCCAUUUGUGCUUUAAGUAGAACUUCAUACCAGCAAAAGUAUAUUGUCUCAGGCCUGCAACUAGCAGUCGCCUACUGCUUGGCAGAACUGGUUCCAGAGCAUUCAGUAACGAGUUAAUGUCUGACGCUGCCUUCUCCAAUGACAUGAAUAUUUUUCAGUGAACUCUUCUCAUCAAGCUUUAUCAUCACUGAACACACCAACUCACUGCAUUCAAGAAAAACUCCAACUCCAAGAGCAGUAGUUACCAUCUCUUGCCAACAAGCAUCCAUAUCUCCAAAAGGCGUUGAGAACAACAUGUCAUUGUUCUUAUCUUUGCUGGUUCUGAUCUUAUGUGGUCGUUGUUGCACCACAUGCACCCUCUGAUUCACAUAAAAAAACUCUGAUUUCCAAACCAACACUAAAACAGGGCUUCCAUUUAUCAUGGUCAGUCAAUACUCCACCGGGUUCCCACAUUCGUUUAU
rnacentral:lncRNA from 1 species